rnacentral:rRNA from 1 species
AUACGGAGGGUGCAAGCGUUAAUCGGAAUUACUGGGCGUAAAGCGCGCGUAGGCGGCUUGAUAAGUCGGAUGUGAAAUCCCCGGGCUUAACCUGGGAAUUGCAUUCGAUACUGUCAGGCUAGAGUGUGGUAGAGGGAAGUGGAAUUUCCGGUGUAGCGGUGAAAUGCGUAGAUAUCGGAAAGAACAUCAGUGGCGAAGGCGGCUUCCUGGAUCAACACUGACGCUGAGGUGCGAAAGCGUGCGGAGCAAACAGGAUUAGAAACCCCAGUAGUCC